GCCGCGUGAGGGAUGACGGCCUUCGGGUUGUAAACCUCUUUUAGCAGGGAAGAAGCGAAAGUGACGGUACCUGCAGAAAAAGCGCCGGCUAACUACGUGCCAGCAGCCGCGGUAAUACGUAGGGCGCAAGCGUUAUCCGGAAUUAUUGGGCGUAAAGAGCUCGUAGGCGGUUUGUCGCGUCUGCUGUGAAAUCCCGAGGCUCAACCUCGGGCCUGCAGUGGGUACGGGCAGACUAGAGUGCGGUAGGGGAGAUUGGAAUUCCUGGUGUAGCGGUGGAAUGCGCAGAUAUCAGGAGGAACACCGAUGGCGAAGGCAGAUCUCUGGGCCGUAACUGACGCUGAGGAGCGAAAGGGUGGGGAGCAAACAGGCUUAGAUACCCUGGUAGUCCACCCCGUAAACGUUGGGAACUAGUUGUGGGGACCAUUCCACGGUUUCCGUGACGCAGCUAACGCAUUAAGUUCCCCGCCUGGGGAGUACGGCCGCAAGGCUAAAACUCAAAGGAAUUGACGGGGACCCGCACAAGCGGCGGAGCAUGCGGAUUAAUUCGAUGCAACGCGAAGAACCUUACCAAGGCUUGACAUAUACGAGAACGGGCCAGAAAUGGUCAACUCUUUGGACACUCGUAAACAGGUGGUGCAUGGUUGUCGUCAGCUCGUGUCGUGAGAUGUUGGGUUAAGUCCCGCAACGAGCGCAACCCUCGUUCUAUGUUGCCAGCACGUAAUGGUGGGAACUCAUGGGAUACUGCCGGGGUCAACUCGGAGGAAGGUGGGGAUGACGUCAAAUCAUCAUGCCCCUUAUGUCUUGGGCUUCACGCAUGCUACAAUGGCCGGUACAAAGGGCUGCAAUACCGCGAGGUGGAGCGAAUCCCAAAAAGCCGGUCCCAGUUCGGAUUGAGGUCUGCAACUCGACCUCAUGAAGUCGGAGUCGCUAGUAAUCGCAGAUCAGCAACGCUGCGGUGAAUACGUUCCCGGGUCUUGUACACACCG
rnacentral:rRNA from 1 species